GGAAGGAUCAUGAUUGUGAGGGGGUAGAAGGAAAAAUGGUAUUUUGGAGUAUGGGAGAGACGAUGAUAAGUGUGUAGAUCUUAUGGUAUAUAAAUGUUGUUGAUUGUUGUAUUGGUGCCACCAAUUAAUAUCGCACUUUUUAUAUCGUUUUUUAUAUCAUUUUUUAUAUCUCCGAUUCAAAUAAUCUUAAUAUCCACAUUUUGUUAUAUUGCAUUUUAGAAAUCACGUCGGAUCCCUAGGCUACAAGUCCCGAAAAAGAACGCACUAUUUGCGAAAAGCCCAGUCGGACUGGAGAUGUUUGAAUAGAAUACACGCAAAUGUAUUCGGGAACCCGGAGAACUUAAGCAUAUCAGUAACCGGAGGAAAAGAAACCAACAGGGAUUCCGGCAGUAGCGGCGAGCGAAGACGGACAAUGACGGAACCUAGUCGUGUGGAUCGGUCGGCACUUUGAAAAGGAGGAAACCUUUGCCAACGAUGGUGAUAGACCAUGUUGCCGGUGGGAUCUGGGAGUAGGGCUGGAUGGGAUGGCAGUCUGAACGUCGUGGGAGGCGGACACGAAAUCAUAAAGAGACGGGGGGCCGAUAGAGAAAAAAGUACCGUGAGGGAAAGGUGAAAAGCAGUCUGGAUAGGACGGUGAAAAGAGGGUGAAGACCAGGGCCACGGGUGGCGCCCGUCUUGAAACACGGACCAAGGAGUGAUUGUUUGUGCUGGGUAGUUGCAAGCAAAAGCAAUCGACCCGAAAGACUGUGAUCUAUGUCUGGCGGGGACGAAGCGGGCGGAAACGGCUGUGGAGGUCCUAUGCGGUGCUGACGUGCAAAUCGCUCGUGGCAGCUGGACAUGGGGGCGAAAGACCAAUCGAACAGUCUGGUAGCUGGUUCCCCC
rnacentral:misc_RNA from 1 species